GACGAACGCUGGCGGCGUGCCUAAUACAUGCAAGUCGAACGCAGUGGGGACGGGUGAGUAACACGUGGGUAACCUCCCAUCAGAGGGGAUAACACUUGGAAACAGGUUCUAAACCGAUACUGAUGGAUGGACCCGCGGUGCAUUAGCUAGUUGGUGGGGUAACGGCUCACCAAGGCCACGAUGCAUAGCAGACCUGAGAGGGGGAGCGGCCAAACUGGGACUGAGACACGGCACAGACUCCUACGUGAGGCAGCAGUGGGGAAUAUUGGACCAUGGUCGAAAGCCUGAUUCAGCCAGGCCGCGUGUGUGAAGAAGGUCUUCGGAUUGUAAAGCUAUUGAAGUUGGGAGGCGUUACCAACAGAGUAAGCACCGGCUAACUUCGUGCCAGCAGCCGCGGUAAUUC
rnacentral:rRNA from 1 species